rnacentral:rRNA from 1 species
CCUACGGAGGGCAGCAGUGGGGAAUAUUGGACAAUGGGGGCAACCCUGAUCCAGCCAUGCCGCGUGUGUGAAGAAGGCCCUCGGGUUGUAAAGCACUUUCAGUGAGGAAGAACGCCUGGUGGUUAAUACCCAUCAGGAAAGACAUCACUCACAGAAGAAGCACCGGCUAACUCCGUGCCAGCAGCCGCGGUAAUACGGAGGGUGUGAGCGUUAAUCGGAAUUACUGGGCGUAAAGCGCGCGUAGGUGGCUUGAUAAGCCGGUUGUGAAAGCCCCGGGCUCAACCUGGGAACGGCAUCCGGAACUGUCAAGCUAGAGUGCAGGAGAGGAAGGUAGAAUUCCCGGUGUAGCGGUGAAAUGCGUAGAGAUCGGGAGGAAUACCAGUGGCGAAGGCGGCCUUCUGGACUGACACUGACACUGAGGUGCGAAAGCGUGGGUAGCAAACAGGAUUAGAUACCCGGGUAGUC